UCUUUUCUUUGCUGCCAAAACCGAACCCCCUCUCUUCCUCUCAUCUUCUUCUUUUAAAUCCUUCAAUUUUGUCUUCUUUCCUUUGUUUUCAGGCGGUAGGGGAGCAUCAUUGGCCUAGGGAGGCUGCUGGAGUAGCUGGAGGUGGGUGGAGCACGCUUGGCUGCCGACUGGCAGAUUUGACAUGUCUAGGAGGACCAAAUUGUAAAGGGUGUAAAGUUUUCGGGGUAAAAAUGUAAUUUUAGAAAAAUAUAGGGCUAAAAUGUAAUUUUUAGAAAUUUUAGGGGUCCGA
rnacentral:lncRNA from 1 species